rnacentral:rRNA from 1 species
AUGUACCCUGUAGCUUGGGCUGUAGUCGAAAAAGAAACAUAUGAGUCUUGGUUCUGGUUUGUUGAGAAGUUAAACAGAGACCUCAAAAUCAGCAAUCAAGGGGAUGGGUGGGUGUUCAUCUCAGAUCAGCAAAAAGGACUAAUAGGGGCUAUAGAGGAUAUUCUUCCAAAAGCAGAACACAGGAUGUGUGCAAGGCACAUUUACUCAAACUAG